rnacentral:misc_RNA from 1 species
GAUGAAGAACGUAGCGAAAUGCGAUAAGUAGUGUGAAUUGCAGAAUUCAGUGAAUCAUCGAAUCUUUGAACGCACAUUGCGCCCCUUGGUAUCCCGAGGGGCAUGCCUGUUCGAGCGUCAUUUCACCACUCAAGCCUGGCUUGGUGUUGGGCGACGUCCCCUUUGGGGACGCGCCUCGAAACGCUCGGCGGCGUGGCACCGGCUUUAAGCGUAGCAGAAUCUUUCGCUUUGGAAGUCGGGGCCCCGUCUGCCGGAAGACCUACUCGCAAGGUUGACCUCGGAUCAGGCAGGGAUACCCGCUGAACUUAAGCAUAUCAAUAAGCGGAAGA